rnacentral:miRNA from 1 species
AGUGAAAUUUGAGUUUCAGCUAAACAGUGAGUAAUAUUUUAGUAUAAGUAUGUCCCAUGUGAUUUGGGGACAUACUUAUACUAAAAAAAA